CACAUCCAAGGAAGGCAGCAGGCGCGUAAAUUACCCAAUCCUGACACAGGGAGGUAGUGACGAUAAAUAACAAAUGCCGGGGCUUUCUAAGUCUGGCAAUUGGAAUGAGAACAAUUUAAAUCCCUUAACGAGGAUCAAUUGGAGGGCAAGUCUGGUGCCAGCAGCCGCGGUAAUUCCAGCUCCAAUAGCGUAUAUUAAAGUUGUUGCAGUUAAAAAGCUCGUAGUUGGAUUUCUGGUCGGAGCGAUCGGUCCGCCUCAUUCGGGGUGUGUACUUUGUGUCGCCUCCAGCCAUCCUUGAGGCGAGCUGUCCUGGCAUUGAGUUGUUGGGGCAGGGAACCUCAUCUUUUACUGUGAAAAAAUUAGAGUGUUUAAAGCAGGCUUACGCCGUUGAAUACAUUAGCAUGGAAUAAUAAGAUAGGACUUUGGUGGUCUAUUUUGUUGGUUUGCACACCGAAG
rnacentral:rRNA from 1 species